rnacentral:rRNA from 1 species
AUUGAACGCUGGCGGCAGGCCUAACACAUGCAAGUCGAACGAGUGGCGGACGGGUGAGUAAUGUCUGGGAAACUGCCUGAUGGAGGGGGAUAACUACUGGAAACGGUAGCUAAUACCGCAUACCAUCGGAUGUGCCCAGAGGGGAUUAGCUAGUAGGUGGGGUAAAGGCUAACCUAGGCGACGAUCCCUAGCUGGUCUGAGAGGAUGACCAGGCACACUGGAACUGAGACACGGUCCAGACUCCUACGGGAGGCAGCAGUGGGGAAUAUUGCACAAUGGGCGCAAGCGUGAUGCCGCCAUGCCGCGUGUAUGAUGAAGGCCUUCGGGUUGUAAAGUACUUUUGGCAGAGAAGCGGUAUCUGCAGAAUAAGCACCGGCUAACUACGUGCCAGCAGCCGCGGUAAUUC